CUCCGAGCACGGCUGCUGCCUCCCGCUCUGCUCCUCCUCGGCAGGUGGCACCGAGCACCGGCCCCGCGAGGCCGGAGCUGGGAGAGACCGUUCCCAGACCAGCUCCGGCGGAGGGCGGGACGAGGCCGGGCAGCGGCGAGCGGGCGCCCGCGAUGCUCCGGCAGUGCCGCGACCACGACACCGACCGACGCGAGCGCUCAAGGCAGAGCGGGCCGCGCUCGGAAACCACGACAAGGGACAAACAAACCCGCGCCUCGUUCACACGAGUUUGUGUUCAACGCUCCGCGGGGCCGGCGGGGGAGGACGCGGAGAUGGGGCUGCCCCGGAGCCGCGGUUCUCACGCUAAUCCAAUGGCCUGGUGCACCAUGUGUUCCCCACAGGAAGUCUUUCUGCAGUAACCUCCAGAGAACUGGCCUGCUUCAGAAAGCUGAGCUCAGAGCAGGGAACCAGGCUCACACCUCCAGCUGGUACUCAGGCAGCUUUCCCAGCUCCAGAAGGAAACUCCCAGUAUUCCAGCAUCGCCUUCUGCAGAGCAGGGUGGUAACUGCAAGCACCCAGCCCAAGCUGCAGCAUUUUCACCCUGGCUACCUUCUCAUCCAGGCUAAGACCAGUAACACCAGAGUCACUGCAGCUGGGGCCAGUUUAAGCCACCUGGCUCAUUUGCUCCCACACAGAAUGCAGGCUCUUGCCUCCUUCUCGUGGCCACUGUGAGAUUGCUUUGUCUUGGCCCCUUGAGCCACCAGACACAGCUCCCUCUUGCCUGCAGCACCUACCCCAGGCUGUCAGUGUGACCCCAGCUUCUGUGUGUGCCUCUGGCACAGCCAGACUGAAAAUACAAAUCUCCACUGAGGGAAAACGGGGUCAAAGGAAAGCACCAACUACAACCUUGAUGCUGUGGGACCAUAUUCUAUAGUUUUUUAAAAGCUGGAAUCUGUAACUAGAUUUACAUGCAUAUAAUGUGGUACAGAAAGAGCUUGAUUGAAGGAAAACUCAGGCAGCUCAUGAAUUAGCUCUGAAUUCAGCCUACAUAAUUGAUUUAAAAGUUAUGCAUAUCCAAAAGUAUCUUGGCAAAUUAGGGGACCAUUUGAAAGAACGUUUAAAACCAAAAAGUAAAUAUAUUAAAAAUCAGUCUUUGAAAAAUACUCCUCAGCAGCAAAGACUGAGUUUAUUCAGUGAAAUAGAGAUCCCUUCCUACAGCAAAAAGAAUAAAGAAAACAAUCGGUAAAGAAACAGCACAGUCUCCAAGAAAAUGUAUUCUUCAGUAUCAAUAACAUGAAAAUACUUUUUAAAGCUGAAACUGUUUCUCGUACUCCCCCAUGACUUAGCUUUAAAGCAGUAUGGACAUGACAGGGGCUUUAAGUAAGUGCAAAGCCAGGUAACCUGACUCAUGAGAUGCACAGUUAACAACUGCAGUGGAAUUGCACAUUGCAACUCCAUAUAGAGUCUCUAUUAACAUAUUGUGACAAGAGUUAUGCACAUACAUAAUGUUUAGCCCCCUUGGUGCUGGCUUGUCCCUUAGGAACAAUGACAAGUGGAGUCACUUUAAGAUGAAGCCCUACAAUUACAAAAUUUUUCAGGCUAAAAAUUUUGCAAUUGUCUAGCUUGCCUGUGUAAAUAAUGCAUUACAAAAUACAUUAGUUAAGUUCCUUCAGGAGGACUGAAGAGUGUGAAGUUGAGGAUCCUACCUAAAGCCUUCAAUCUCCACACAUUUCUGAUCCAAAAAGGCACACAAAUGCCACAAAAUUCUCAUCCAGAAUAAAAGUUUACUUCGGCAUCCUCAGUCAGAGGACACUCCUCACAAAAGAGAGAAAGUAUGUUUACCUUCACAGAUGACCACAUUACUUCAAGAUGUAUGUAGUCUGACUCUUGUAAUGUUGCCAGGUACUUCCUUGCAUGCUGGGUGCUGACUAUUCCAAACGGGUUCAGAGGGAAGUUAUCUUAAAUUAAAACUAUGUUCAGUCAUAAGAAAUAAGUGUUGUUUAUUAAAAAUAAAAUAUCUUGAAAAUAAUUUCACAAGCAUAUAUACACAUACAUAGGGGCACUAUGGCUUUAGUAUUUUUUACUUAAACCAGGCUUAUCUCUAUAAUCUUAGAAAUUAACUAUUUUAAGUUAUAGAAUCAUGUAUCAGCAAAGUCACACAUGAGCAGUAACAUUUACAUCAUUACAUUUGAAGUAAAUUUCAAGACAAACAAAAUAGCAAACAUGGCAUGAAUAACAACAAAAUUAUUUUUAAAAUCUAUGUUCUAAUUAGAGGAAAUAAAAAUAAUCUUAGAAGGUUAAAAAUUAAUCUGUUAUAGGUUGAACAAUAUUUGACAAAGGAAACAGACUGUCAUAUUGUUCUUAGGGUUACCUCACGGGUUGAACUUGCAUUUCCCUAGAAUACUACAUAAAUAAUUAUUACUCAGUGCUCCCUCCAGACAUAGCCCAAACUAGUACCUUGAUUACUUGAAACAAACAAGUUAAUUCAAUGUUGCAGAAAUGCCAAUUGUUCAUUUAUUUUGUUGUUCUUGAUUUCAGUAGGAUUCUUAAGAGAAAGGAAUGUGGGUUUCAAUCACUAAAUGCUAAUAAAAAUAUAACAUUUUAGACUAGUUUAAGGAAAAAAAAAAAGAUCUCUAUAAUGUGCUUCUAUUGAAAGGUCUCAUUUGUCUAUGCAUGAUGUACCAGAGAUACUAAGGGACUUCAUUCUGAAGGCAAUGGCAAGAGCCCAAGCAGGUCUGCGGGUACAGCCAGUGCCAAAUGUUUACCUCUACUUGUGCUGUGCCACGAGAAACCUUCCUUGGAUUGCCACAUCCCCAAAAGAACUCAUCCCAGUGUAUGUGCUAAGCAUGGUGGUCAGACAUCUGAAAAGGAGAACACUAUUUGUAAUGGUUUUAUAAAAACCUGAGAUGAAUCCUUGAUGAAGAUCUGGUGCAGAGAAUCUCACAAACUGUCAGGCUGAGGCUGAUGUUGAUGGGGCAGGGGGGAAAGAAUUCACUGCACUGGUUGCAAAAACUCUGACGUGAACACAGCUUCUGCAUAGUCCUCACAAACAUCCUGCAGCUCUGCUGCCACGUCACACAGGGCUUCUUCUGUCAGUUGCUCUGCAAGACUGAGGCAGAGGGAAGGCAAAAAUAGAGAAGGAAAAGGUUCAGAAAGUCAGAUUUCAAAUUUCAGUCAUUCAUGCUAUUGAUAUCAGUGCUCUGAUUUUAAAAGGUAGAUACUUUUUUCUUUCUACUGCUUAGCCCAAGAAAGGAUUCGAUACUUGUUCUGAUAUGGGUUGUAUAAGAUAGCAGAAAUUCUAUCCUCACUCUGGUUCAUAGCAAAGGGCAUACUUCAAGCUUAAAAGUACUGAGAGAUCUCAGUUGUUUCCUUUUUUCAAACUCUUAAGAUACUAAUUCUGCUUUGAGAAUAAGAGUGAACAUACUGUGGUGCUCAUCCAAAGGCCACUGAAGUAAAUAGGAAGCUUUUUAUUGAUUUUAGCUGUCACUGAAUCAGGCCUUACUGAGAGCAGAAAUGUUUUGAGUGAAAUGUCAAUUUUCAGUAAUCUCUGGACCACAGUAGAUGUUUGUUACAGAACGAAAACUGUUUGUGUGUAAAUAUACAGUAGUUUACUGGCCUCCUGAGAAGAACUCUGCAGUUCUGCAUGUGCUCCAAAACACAUUGGUGUUCCUGAGCCCAACAACCUCGGGGGCUGUUCAGAGUCACAAAGCCUGCCAGGGACUGGCUGCAUUUGCAGUUGUCGAGCAUGGGGCACGUGGCAGCCGUGGCAACCACUGUCAGGAGGAGGGUCACCUGCCAGUCCCACAGAGGUGCCAGCCCUGGCAGGGCCAAUCUCACACCAGGGACUGAAGGCAGCACAGCUCAGAAGGCAGGAUGACAGCAGUGAGAACUGACGAGCUCUGUUUCAGUGGGUUGAUUCAGCAGAUUCAAAUACAGUGGUCUAAUCACAGUUAUUACAACAUGUGCCUACUUAUCCACACUUGGGCAAAUCAGCAACACACAGGAUUAGCUUUAUGCAUGCCAGUCAUCUCAAAUAUUGCAGGACCUGUUCCUGAAAACUCUUUAUGCGGAUGCCAAUCAAACAAGCUGUAUCACUGAUUUCAAUGCUACUACAUUAAAAAUGUAUGCUGAAGUUUAAAGAUUCUUGGCAAUUAAGCCUGAUGUCCAAUCUACCAAUACAGACAAAUAUGGGAACUCGUCCCAUCUACAACCACUGAAGUUAGGUUUUCCAAUUCUUUCUUAAUACUCCAGAUCUGGUUUUCUUCUCUCAUCUCUUCUCCCAUAGUCAGAUGCAUUCUCAUUUCCACUCUGCAGGGAAUUAAUGUCCCCUCUAUGCCAACUGAUGUUGUGCCAGUAUUCCUGCAGUUCUGAAAGAACAGGGCUAGCAAGGUUUCAAAUUCAUCCUGUAUUUCCAUGCUUUCUUUGGGCUGGACUUUAUAAGACCAAUAGGUGAUUUUUUAAAUGUAUCAUACAUAUUGAAAGUUAUUUCUAGGCAAUUGUAGGUAAUUACUCAAGGAAGUGCAAGGAAAUGAUAACCAGUGAUGUAAUUUACUUGCUAAAGCUGUUACUGAGUAAUCAAAACACUUACUCAAGCUUCAGUGCAAAAGUGGGUAUUUUGGCUUAUAUUGCUCUGCUGCUUAGCAGACAUUUAGCCUAAGAAACUAUUUUUGCCAGGAAGUGAACAGUAAAGAGACUGUAGUUUACUGUUUCUUCACAUCUUCUACUUAUAGCAAGGGAUGGACAUUCUACUCCCAUAUCCUUUGGUUUUAUCCAACUACCUUCAAAAUCCAUGAAUACCUAGUACCAGUAGAGAAACAGCCUAAGAGACAACUGCCUCUGGCUUUCAGUCUGGAAUUUAAAUGUCGCCUCCCCACUCCUCUCCUGAGUAAGAACAGAAAAACCUGUUGUCAGCUGAUACAUUCACUUCAAAAUCACAAAGACAGUCCAUAUACCUCUCAGCAAUCUGCCAUGGGUUGAAACUGCCCACCACCUCAUGAGAAAUAAGCUUUAAAUGAUGCUUGUAUCUGCUGUUAUAAUCCAAGAUGCUCUGGAGCAUAUGGCUUGGCACGGACAGAGACACAGAGCACGCUUUCUGUAGAGAGUUCAAAGCCAAGGGGUGCAGAAUGUCAUUUCCAGUAUGCAAUUUCUCCUCUGCUUCUUUGUUUUCAUCAAUAUCACUGGAAAUAUAAAAUAAUCAUCAAAACAGAACUAGAUUUUCAAGUCUCUUUUUGAAAACACUAUAAUGAAGUCACACAGAUCUCAUGCACCACAGUUUAAUGUAGGGCCAAAUAUUCCACUUACUUGCCAUCAAAGGGUUUUUCAAAUAAAAUGUUUGUUUCUAGCUCUGUGUGUUCAAUUAAUUUGUUUAUCUGAAUUGGAUGAGGAGAUGUGAGUCUUUUAGCUGUUGAUGCCAUUUGUUGCUCUAGAAGGAAGAAAAUACCAUUUAAAAUUGUUUCUUUGAAAGAGGAAAACUACAUCUACUGCAGAUAAGGUCCUCACAAAGACUUUUGCUUCUUUUAAGGGGAACUCCUUCAGGUAAGUGAAGAACUGAAAGUGAGAAGCCCCUAAAAAGUAAAUUCAGUGUAGCGUUUCCAAGAGCUUAGUGUAUUAAAGCUGAGCAUUUUAGAAAUGCUGCUUUUAGUAUAAAUCAUUUGUGCUGUCAGUGGAUACUUCUAGCAGAGAGAUAGAAAAUACCACUGUAAAACUAGCAGUCUAUUAAACCUGGCAGUAAAUUCAAGACAUGGAAAAAAAGUCCAUACAGAUUUGGGCUAAAUCUUCACCAGUCAUAUUGUGAGAUUUUACAACUUGUGUAAACAACACAGUUCCAGUAAAGUCUGUAUGUAAUCAGAUACUCACAUUGAAAAAUCAGUGUAGCUUUGCUGUGCUACUCAAAUAGUAGGAUAAAAAACAGGAAUAUUGAUAAAGUAUCAACUUUUAGAACUACAUUUUAGAAACUGUCCUUUGAAAGAAGUACCUAUAGUAAAAAAUGUGUCUGGAUGGUGCUAUUUGAUCACACAUAAUCCAACGACCUUGAUUUCAAAACAUCUGAAUUUAAAGUUACAGAUUAUAGGAAAAUCCAGUGCCAUUAAAGAAGACAGUUACCCAUUUUGUCUUCCUGGGCCCAGAAGUGGGAGUCAGUGUACACGAUCUGGGUGAUUCUCCUGCGGACACUCUCCCGGUGUCUCUGUAUUGGAACACACAACAGCAGUCAGUCACCCACAUACCUGAUUAUCACACAAUAGGAAACUAGGUCAUGAUCCUCCUUGGGCAAAUUUGGGGCUUAUUUCGGCUGGUAACAGAACACAGAAAAGGGGUGGGGGAGUGAAAUCACAGACAUUUAUCUUGUUCAAAAUGCCAUACUUGAAUAUGAAACUAGUUGCCAGUCCCAUGGUAACUCCUCCCAUUUUAGACCAACAGCCCUCAGCCAAACAACUGAAGAACCCUCAUGCUUUCUUUUAAGAAAGCAAUAUAUGAGAAAGCUCAAGUCGAGUAAAUUAUAAACUUAUGAAUAUUUACACAGAAAAAUGAAUAAAUAAGGGCACAGAUAACCAUGUAUUUGUCUGACUUCCCAUGUUGCCCUGUGAAAUACUUUGGAUUGCCAGAGCAUUUUUCCUCGAGAUGCUCAAGCUACUAGAAUAUUGAGAUUCUAUACCACAAAAAAAGGGAAAAAACCAAAUUAAUAUUCAAAUACUUUCCAAUCUGCAAGGCAAUCAACAUAAUCACCAUGCGGAUUCUCCCACUCAUGUACAGUUAUCUAAGCCACAAAGUCUUGAGGUGGAAAGCAAACUCAGGUCUCCCAAGUCUAGAGCAAUAGAUUCAUCAAAAUUUUGCUCCUGAUCUUACACUGUGUUUUGCUGGAAGCACAGACUCCUCCCUGGUCUUUGAUUUCAGACACUGAUUCAGUCACUCCUUGCUUCAUUUAAGAAUGUACUUAGAGAUAUUACAAUUUAUGGACAGUAAUCAAGAAAUUGGCACUAAUGAGAACAACCAAGACAGAAAAUCUUACUUCAAUUUCUUCCAUUCUUUGCAACAUUGACUCUAUACUAUGAGUGUCAGCCAUAGGCAGGGCCCUGGUCUGGAGCCUUUCAUGCUGCUCCACGCUCCACAGUUCUUGAGCAGUAUCUUCCAAAAGAUCAUCCAACAGCUUUUCACUCAGAAUAUCUGCAUUUGCUGCAACCUGCUACUUAAAAAAUCCGAAACUCAAAAACAAAUACCACAGAAAACAAAAAGACACAAAGCCAAUACAAGAAAGAAAGAAAAAACCAAAACCAAACCAACUGGCAUUAAGUUGAAAAGAAACUGUAUGUUGCCCCUUUAUAAAUGUUUGACAGCUCUCAAGGCAUCGUUCCCCCAGUGGCAUAAGCUUGCCUGUACUACCUGCAUGCUGUCUACCAGAGGUUCCGACCACUCCUGUACCUCCUUCACAGCUUUGUCUGCACAGGGGGCUGGAGAAACAGUUUGUGACCUGCACGAAAAAGAACAAUGCCAUUUUGAAACUUGGUAUGACAACAAUAAUUUAAAAACCCCAAAUACAUAAGUUUACUUUUAGGGAGACUGCUGGAGUGUGGAGAAGCUCAUAUCCUAUCUGACACCAGUUAUGAGAUCUUCAAAGUAAGUCAUUACCUUAACUUUUGUAUUUUUUUUAUUUCUCCUCUGCGAAGGUCAGUUAGAACCUUCACUCCUCUUGAAUUUUCCACUUCAAGCCUCGCUAGUCUUCAAAAAUAGCACAGUAACAUAAAGGGUUACAAAAUGCACAUUCUAAUAACUGAAGAAUGAAAUAAUAUGAUUUUGAGUAUUAGUUUGGAAAAGUUGCAAAAAACUUCAGAGAGAAAAUUAAUGCUGACUGUAAGACCAUAUAAGCCAGAAAACUCUGUUGAGAACCGGGGAUCUUGAAUUAAGUUUCUGCUGUUGGCAAAUAGGAAGUACUUGGCCCAGAGAAAUGAGCUCCUCAUCUUACCCUGCACACUGCCUAGUACAGAUCCAGCACCUGGAUCUCUUGCUUCAACUGCCACAAACAUCAAUCCCAAAGCAACCUAAAUUUGGGGACCCCUGGUCUAACGGGAUGUUGAAUAUACUUUAAAGUAAACAAACUUGCACUCUAUUAUUGUCUGAGACAAAUAUAUGUAUUUUGUCCUUCUGGAACAGGGAGAUAAUAUUUAUUUACCUUCUUAAUGCACUGCUGUGAAUACCCACUCUGCCUGCUGUGUUUUGUCACUGCCCUGCCUUGCACAGUUGGGCCUUGACUCCCAAGCAGCAACUCAGGCAAAAGCCUAAAGCCUUGGCUCUUCCUGGGCUUUAGGGAGUGAGACUGCUCUGGGCCAUCUGGCAGAGAGCUGUGCUGUGCCACUGGCCACCCUGGGCUGCAGCCAGGCCAACUCUGUCCCAGUUACCAGCACAGAGCCAGCAGCAUUCCCACUGGGAAGCAGGGUAAGGAUGGGUGCCACAGGACUGUGAACAUACCGCUUAGGUGGAACAGGCAGAGCUGGAGGCUUUGGAGGAGGGCAGGGAAUUCUGCUCUCCUUAGCAGGUCGUUUGGUCUCUUUUAGCUGAAAAGCUAUAGUUGGCUCUCGAAAUCCAGCAUGCUUUCCUCGAGGGCGUACCUGUCUUGAUUUCAGAGAUUUCAGCAUUCCCUUAAAAUUAACACCAUCACAUUAAAAACUUAUAUCCCAGUUGUUGAAUUAUUAAAGUAUUUUGCAUUUUGCUUCAGAUUUUGUCUUGAAGUCAUGCCUGCUGACUUUGCUGCACAGUUAACAUAUGUGAAGGUUUUACAACUGCUUUAAAGGGAAGUACAGCUGUGCCUGAAAAGAAUAUAUGCUUGAUCCUGUAACUGUUACUUUUGCAAACAGUUCCAACUUUUCCAGUGUUGCCCUUCAUGGGGAAAAAACUUAUUUUUAAUUUUUCAGAAUUAGACUCUAUGUUAACUCUUAAUAAAUCCAAAUAGAAGGUUUCCAAGGUAACCUUUAUUCAGCCACAAAACUAUAAUAUCACCACUUUUGUAUUUGCUACAAGGUCACUUAGACUCGUCCCCUCAGUAUGAAAUGCUGAAAUGUUUAACCUUUCUGCCCACAUUUCUCACUGACACACAGGGAUGGGAAGCAGUAAAAGUUACAUAUACAUACAGUUUUGUUACUGUGUCAGAUCUGAAUUUUCAAGUUGAAGAUGACACUGAGGAAGGAAUAAAAAAACUCCACCUAUUUACAAAAUCUAGCACUAGUCUUGUAAGAACUUAUUUGCAUUACAGAAGCCUCUUGCUGGUUGCAAGAAAGACUUAGCAGAAACCAGAACUUGUAUUGUGAAGUUUUAUCAUUUCUGUAAUCAAUUAAGUAAGUCUGCCUAACUUAUAUUCUCCUACUAACACUAGCAUGACAUUACUGCUGAGUGCAUUUUUUGUGACAGAGGAUUACCAACAGGAAGAAAAUACUUCAGCUUUAAUUUCAACUUGAAAAAAACAUGCUAACUUCAAGCACGAAACUUGUUUCAGUAAACAUUUUCCUUGCUAAUUCUGUUAUUCGUUGUUUCUAGUUGUACAAUGUGUUUCCAAGGAACUGUAACACUGCUUUGAAAAAACAGAUGCUAAAAUAGUCAUACCCAGUAGAAAUAACAGGCAGAUGACAGUUUAUCCCACUGUGUCUCCUAGCUCAGAAUAGAAAUACUGUGAGGAAGUGCGAAGCACUGACAGUAUCUUACGUUAUAUAAAAAAUCCCAAAGCACAAGUACAAGACAGCAUAAAUGAUUUAUCAGUUCCAUACCUGUGGUUUUGCAAGCAAUAAUAUGCCUUUCUUCUCCAAAGGACCACUUCCAAGGACAGAGUCCUUUUUUACAGCUCUAGCUCUCACCAGGGCAUCUGUGCUUCCCUGUAAAGUGGCAUUUCUCUCUGGAGUAGGUGGGUCACUUUCUUCUUGGUAUUUAUUGUGAAACAUAUGAGCACAACUGUUCGCCUUUUGAACUGCUGAAAUAUUUGCAACAUGUCAAUGUUUAUCUGUAUCAAAAAUAACACAUAAACUUUUAACUUUGGUAAGGUGAGAGGGGCAAGAAUUGUCUUUAUUUCUACAUUUGAUAUCUCUGUUAUGCUAGGUAUACCUAAUCAUGAACUUUUAAGCUCUACCAUAAUUUAAAAAAAGAAAAAAAAAAAAAUCCAGCCUUGUAUUUCCUGACAAGUAUUAAAGAAAUUGUCUUUCCUGCAUUGCUUUGAUGAACAGGAGAGUUUGGAGUUUGUGUGCAUAUACAUAUUUAUAUGUAUAUAAAUAUUUGAAAAUACACAUAUACAUGCAAAUCAUGGGAAAGCUUUUGGUAGUAAUUGUCAUGAAAGAUCUAGGCAGUGAUAAAAAAACAUUCUUUUUUAGGCCGCAAGACACAUGGAAACCAUUAAAUGCUUAUAUGCUGUCUCCCUGGACUGCCAAAGAUGAAUUCAUCAUAUGGAAUUCUUCUUGCCCUUACAUGUGGGUAGCAGGGAAUACUCACUAUUCUAGUAAAAACCAUCAUCAGGUAUGAGAAAGACACCAUAAAGAAGAAAAAGAAUUAAUAUAGUUUAUAUAUAAUGUAAGAAAUUAUAAUGGCUUUCAUCAGGUGUCAAAAUACUUCAGGUGGUAUAUUUAUCUCACAACACCUUGAGAAGGAAUAAAACUCCUUUCCUUUCAUAUACAAAGUAAAACAACAAUAAAGAAAGCCAACUCUGAACAGUUUCACAGCAAACGAGUAGUGGAAACCCCCAAAGUCUUUAGCUUAACCAUCAGUUAAUGUGUCUCUAGGUACAAAAGUUUGAGUGUUGUGCAAAAGACAUUAUCAGGAAUCAACUGACAAGAAUAAAACAGCCGCUGCUCUCAGAAGUAGAGAAAUUGCACAAACCAAGGGAAUUCAGAAUACCUUUUCAGUGUGAACAGUUAAACAACCACAGCCUGGCUUUCGUUAGCCUGAUUUGCUAACAUACACUUCUGAGCAACAAUACAUAACAUACUACAAAACUGAUCUUCAGAUGGCAAGUUAACUGAUAAAAAUGGACUUAGUAAUUCAAAAUACAAACCAGUCAAGAGACUCCUGGCACACGGAGGUUUUCUAGGCUCUUGUCCAUACUGUCCCUUUAAGAUGAGAGGCUUGUUUUCUCCUUUUGGAGACAGAAGCUGCUUUUGGGCUGGAAAUGUCUUAUUGUUCCUUGGAGAUUUGGCCUGAGAAGCUGAAAUACAUUUCUUCACUGGUUUUGGUGUUUGCUUGUUUUCCAGCAGUGAAUUCAGAUCCUGCACCAAAUAUUUAGAGUUUUAAUUACUCUCUCAGUAAAUCUGAUAUAAAAAUGAGAAGCAAAUUCAAGAGAUUCCAAGCAGUUGGAACUUUUUUGAUCUGGUUUGGGUUUUUUUGUUGUUCUGUUUUGUUUUCUGACAGCAAUUACUCCCAAUAAGUUGUUCAUGUAGAAGCCUUUUCAUAUUAUUAACUUAAAUCUUACUGAAAAGGCUUACAUUUUUGUAUUUACAAUUGACCCAAGUAAAUAAUCUGCUUACAGAAUGUUCAAAAAGAAAUGGACACAAGGGCUACAGACCAAAAAAGCUCCCAUGCUCACGACUGCAGUAAUACAGACACUUCUUCCAAUGCUAAGUCUAAACUUGAACAACUCUACCUCCUCUCCUGUUCCAAGGCAGUUAGCACUGUUACUGUUCUCAUAAGCAGUUUCAUAACAGUAAAAAUAAAAACACAGCUCUUACAGUUUUAACAGUAUUUUAAGGAAAAUAAAAUAUGGCUCUGGUAUCAGUUGCUUUUAGUUAUUUAUAUAGUAGGCAACAUGAAUCAGAACUUUUCUAUGAUACCAACAACAUGAAUAAGCCAGCAGAUAUCACUAACAAAAGCCAUUUGAAAGGCACAGAGCUUAAGUAACUCUUGUACCCACAACUUUAUCUUCUGCCUGGACACUUCUGCAUCCACCACCAUGGGUGAGGCUCAGAUGCUCAUCACUGAUGCUGAUUACUAAUGCAUGCAUCCCAAAAUAAUAAACACAUAACACACACCAAUAUAUAAAAUGAAUUCUUUCAGUCCUGAAUAUGGCAAAUGAAUCAGAAACUGGUGCUUUGUUACCACUAUCACUACCAGUCCUCAUUCUAGCAGCAUAGCCAAGAAAGACAGGAACAGCAUCAAUAAGAUCAGCAGCAGGUAGCUUCUGUGUUUAGGAUGCACCUCUCUUUUAGACCACCAUUAUUUAGGAACAUUAGAAGUACAUUUAUACAUUAGAAAAUAUGGUCUUUGAAAAACCACAAACAAAACCAAUAAGAUAUUCUGCCAUUUCAUUAACACAGUCUCAUAUUUCACUACAUCUUUUCUGCUUUAGCAAAACCAAAAUGUUUUUUCCUACCUCAACUUGCAGCAAAAUAUCUAUGAUAAUGUCAGAAAUGGAAGAAUCUCCUUCUAGUUUGGCAGAGCAGAGAGAGAGUUGUCGAAUGAGACUGCCCAGCUCCUUGUAGUGGGCAGGAAUCUGCUCGUCUGUUUGAUCUGUGAAGUGAUUGGCAAAUGCCUGCAAGGUUCGUACAGCACCUCUGUGUGCUGCUGCCAACCUGGAUACUGCUUGGGACUGGGAAAUGAAAAACAAAUGUUUUAAUAACUAUAGUUUCUAUGAAUACUUAUACUAUUGGAAGAAUUGUUGGCAAAAUUUCAUGGAGAAACACUCAGGCUUGGGAUAAUUCUGAUGCAUAUUAAGCCAUUUGUGAGACAAAACAAAACAGGCAUUAAAGUAAUCUACUAAAGAUUCCUCACAACAGUACCUCUAUCAAUGUCAUGCCGGCUUCAGGUGAAACAGCCUGGGUAUAACAGCCUGUUUCUGUGUGCCAACACAGAACUGUAAUCAUCAGCUGGACCCUAACGAGCAACAACUGCACAAACACAAAAUAUUCUCCAUCCUCUGCGUUUUGUUACAGAAGAAAAUACAAGUGAUGGAAAAGCUCAAGAGAACAACAGGACAACAUCAGCCAGAGUGUAGGCAUGAUCUCAGGGCUCUCCUUCUGAAAGGUGCUGGGCAGAGAAGAAAAAUCAGGCUGGUAAGACUGAGUGACAUCACCCAGAAGUUUAAAAAAUCAGUCAAUAGUAGAACACAUUGUUAUUGCAAAAAGGAAUUGGAAUGAAGAAGGAAUUAGAAGCCACAUAAAAUCAGAGCGAUGGCCGCCUUCUGUACUUUACUGCAGGGAAAUGAGAACUGAGAAGAGAGAAGCAGCAAAGGCAGUAUCAGGCCAAGUGAUCCAUACUUCUGUGAGAAUGAGAUGAAAGGUGUAAGAUACAAAGAAAAUCUUUCUGAAGAGGGCUCAGAUGCACCCAGAUAAUCAAACAAUUAUCUAGAAAACUCUGUCGAUAAGUCAUUUAUAGCCUGAAGGAUAAUUACACCUUACCUUUUUAGUGUGUUUGAUUGCAUGAGGACUCAGUUUCUCUAAAUCAUCCUGAAUUUCUUUUACCUGUUUAUCAAGAAAGGAGAGGAGAACAUCAGUCAGAAUUCACUCCGUGCCUAUAAAUGAACAAAUUUUGGACUUCAGCCAUGAGAGAAAUUAGUCACACCAUUCAGAUCUAAACUAAAAUGCUGUGGAAGUUCAGAGAUAACCUGAUUGAAUUUCUUUUGUUUCAAUUUGUUUCUGUCAAAUUCUUCACAAUAAACUAGCUACUAUGCA